rnacentral:rRNA from 1 species
UACGUAGGGUGCGAGCGUUGUCCGGAAUUAUUGGGCGUAAAGAGCUUGUAGGCGGUUUGUCGCGUCUGCUGUGAAAAUCCGGGGCUCAACCCCGGACUUGCAGUGGGUACGGGCAGACUAGAGUGUGGUAGGGGAGACUGGAAUUCCUGGUGUAGCGGUGAAAUGCGCAGAUAUCAGGAGGAACACCGAUGGCGAAGGCAGGUCUCUGGGCCACUACUGACGCUGGAGAAGCGGAAAAGCAUGGGGAGCGAACAGG